UCCCCAAGCCGGCCAUGCUUCAAAAAGGAGCAUCGCACCGGGAACCCCCUUCAGACUGUGGAGGACACGGCAUCCAUGAGAACAGAGUUGGGACCCUCUCCCUGCAGCUCAUCCCAUACUAACACUUACACACAGACCAGCACCCUCCCACCUGGGCAAGAUGGCCAAGACCGAUGUGACCGACUACCCUUCAAGACUGUGGACUGCUCAGAGAGUGGAGUGCCUCAAGUCUGCAAGGAGAAAAAAAAAAUAUUGACGUGGACUAAACUUAUGAACAAUUGACACAUGCCAGAGGGGCUUAUUAGCAGCAGGCCAGACUGCCUGGCGGGGUGAGAGCUUGAGGAAUUCAUCCAAAUCUCAGGUCCUUUAUAUGAGAUUGAGUCACCACCCAUGCAAUCAAGGAUGUGGGAGGUUGCAGUCCAGGCUGGUAAAAAAAUGAAGGUAAUUUGGCAAAUGCAUAGAAAUCCUAAGUGAUUCAAUCCCCCACGGUCCUCAUGCCCAAGGUGCAGUGCUGCAUCUCUGGUCAACUGGGAGUCUGAGAUGAAGCACUGUAGCUCGGGAGGGAGGACACUGCGUCCAAAAGUAUCAAGAACUUAUUUAAUGACAUGUAACCAUAAGCUACUUUGGUUUUACAUUUAAAGUUUUAAAUAUCUACUGAAUAUAACACAAAUGUAUAAUUAGCAGUAGCAUUAGCGAUGGUUAUAACUGUUGUUUUGUUUUAGCAUUAGCAUUAUUUGGUAAGUCAGGUUUCAUUUAGACAGCAUUUGUGUUGUUAAUUCUAGGAUUAAAUGUGUUUUUCUUAUCGAUUGUCCACAGUGUCUUCCUUCAUAAUGCAUUCUCUUAUUUCCUCAUCCCCGGGGUCCAGUUUUCCCAGGAAUCCCUUGGGCAAUCUUAAGGGGGAUUCCUGGAAAUACUGUUCUUGGGGGUGGGGCUGGACAACUAAAUAUACUAAAUAAAUGAUUUUUCAUUUGUUUUCCUCAUUUAUAUUAUCUCUAAUUAUCUACAUAAAUUUAGCCAUAAUUACAUAUAAUUACUAGAGUGUAACUAUGGGGAUAAAAUAUCCUCCUUUUGUCCAAAAUAAACUUAUUUUCACAUGUUUGUUUCAGAAAAUGUGUUUUCAAUACAGUCAUCAUUGAUUCAUCCUCCAAA